UAUGGCGGUAUCUUAAGCUUUUCAGAGGAAUUUGCUCUUUUAUGGAUAAAACACCUAAAUCUUACUUAAAUUAGUAAAUUCAAUUUGUAUACCACUAUUAAAACAAUAAUUUAUUAUUAUUGUUUAAAUUCAAUUAAACUAUUUGAAAAAAAUUAAGUCAAGGUGCAGUAAAAAUUUAAGGAUGAAGUGAAUUACAUUUCUUUUAAGAAAAAAAAUUGAAAAAAUAAUUUAGGAUUUGAAAGUAAAGUUGAAAUAGAAAGUUAACUUGAAUUUAGCUCUAAGAUAUGUACAUAUCGCCCGUCACUCUUUAUUAAGAUA
rnacentral:rRNA from 1 species